ACUCAAAGGAAUAGACGGGGGCCCGCACAAGCGGCGGAGCAUGUUGCUUAAUUCGACGCAACGCGAAGAACCUUACCAAGGUUUGACAUGGCCGGAAAACCCGUGGAGACAUGGGGUCCUUCGGGGCCGGUCACAGGUGGUGCAUGGCUGUCGUCAGCUCGUGUCGUGAGAUGUUGGGUUAAGUCCCGCAACGAGCGCAACCCUUGUCCCAUGUUGCCAGCAUUAGGUUGGGGACUCAUGGGAGACUGCCGGGGUCAACUCGGAGGAAGGUGGGGAUGACGUCAAGUCAUCAUGCCCCUUAUGCCUUGGGCUGCAAACAUGCUACAAUGGCCGGUACAGAGGGCUGCGACGCCGUGAGGCGGAGCGAAUCCCGGAAAGCCGGUCUCAGUUCGGAUCGGGGUCUGCAACCCGGCCCCGUGAAGCCGGAGUCGCUAGUAAUCGCGGAUCAGCAGUGCCGCGGUGAAUACGUUCCCGGGCCUUGUACACACCGCCCGU
rnacentral:rRNA from 1 species